CCAGGUACGAUGCGGAAACCUUGGAGAGCUACUGCCAAUCAGCAUUCAUAAUGCUGAAGUAGAUAGCCAAUUGCCUGACUUCUCAGUAAAAGGCACUUUCCUAUGUUCCUGCGUUCCUAAUCUGUCAAGUGCAGAAGUGUUCAUGUAAGCAAUAACUCACUAUAUGAUGAUAUAGGUUUGUGUGCGCAUGCAUGUAGCAUCAAAAAACAUAGCCCUUCCAGUGCUAGGUCACCUCAACUCCUAUAAUUUGGUGUUAUCAGAUCCCAGCAAAAAGGCACAUUCAGGACAAGGUAGCCUCCCACAUUCAGUACCUGUGGCAACCAUAUCAUGCCGUGUACAAAAGGUAAUGUUGACUAUAGCACUAAUUGGGUAAGUCCCUAGUAGUAGUUGCUGAACAGUCAAACAAAAGCAGUUGUAUUUCUACCCUUCUUGCUGGAACAACAGGAGGAACAGGGCACAUAAAUAAAAGUGUCAGGAGACAAGACCUGUUCUGUGUUAGGAGACACAUCAAAUAAAAAAGGAGUGACUAUGUACUCAGAGGCCUGGUUCACAUGCCACACUAAACCAUAGUUAAAAUAAACCACAAUUUAAUGUGAACCAGCAGUGCUUAAUUCUUCCCUUGCUCCUGCUAGGAAACAAACCAUGGGAUGGCUUGCCUUGUUGUCCAAACCUGGACUUAUGCUUUGUUUCUCUCUGAACAAACCACAAGUGGAAGCCAAGGUUUGUUCUUAGUUUGCCACUCAUUGUUUGUUUGAGGGAAAUAAAUCAUGAGACCAAGCUCAGGUGGCGUGACAAGUCAGAUCAUGGUUUGUUCCUUGGCAGUGCAGCAGAAGUGGGGGAGGAGUAAAGUGUCAUUCAUAUUAAACCACAGCAAAUUUGACUAUAAUUUAAUACGUCAUAUGAAGCAGAUCAGUGUGCCUUUUCUUCACCUCUGAGUAAUCACAAGCAGACCUGAAAGAGCUGGUAUGUUCUAGGAUAAAGGAUUCCAGGGUAAGGGAACAUGACUCCUUAAGGAAAGAAAAAGAAGAAGAAGAAGAAGAAGAAGAAGAAGAAGAAGAAGAAGAAGGAGUAGGAGUAGUAGUAGUAGUAGUAGUAGUAGUAGUAGUAGUAGUUUGGAUUUGAUAUCCCGCUUUAUCACUACCUGAAGGAGUCUCAAAGCGGCUGAUAUUCUCCUUUCCCUUCCUCACCCACAACAAACACUUUGUGAGGUGAGUGGGGCUGAGAGACUUCAGACAAGUGUGACUAGCCCAAGGUCACCCAGCAGCUGCAUGUGGAGGAGCGGAGACGCGAACCCGGUUCACCAGAUUACGAGUCUACCGCUCUUAACCACUAUACCACACUGCAAGUGUCAUCAUGUCAGUGCUUCAAUAAUGUUACAUCAACCUCACAGACAAUUAACAGUACAAAUGUUUAGGAUCAGGAUAUCAAUCUUCACUUUUCUGAAUGGGAAAAGGAACAACAAAUAGUUAUGGACUAAACUUGCUUAAAACUGCUCUGCAAUGGCAAACAUCUGAAGGGAGGGGGAGACACUGAAUUGUGCUUUCCAUAUUCUACUCCGUGGCAAAUCUCCUCAGUGGCGGGGUGGGGUGGGGAAUAGGUUUCAAAAACAUUUUAGACUUGUAUCAUACAUUGAAAAUCAAUAGUUACUUGGUAGGCACCUAAGGGGUUCUGAAAAACCUACACGUCAGACAACUUCCUUUUGUGAGUCAGAUGAUAACUGACCUUCCAUCAGCACUUCCAAGAUACAUAAAGAGAGCCUGAGAAUAAGUUUGCUUCUUAUCAUUUUCUAAAGCCAUGUAUGAAUGCAUUUAAUUUACUGUGCUAGCACUAUCGCUUCCUACUCCUACACAGAAGGUGGCGGUUAUAGUAGCUCUGUGAUAGGAUGAUGACCCUAUCAAGAGGGAGGUGGGGAGAAGGAAUCUGGUCUUCUCAGCAGAACAGAAAAGCAAAAACAUUUCCCUUGUCUAUUUUAUGUUGUAGAUGGAGGAACUUUCUGCUAUUCGCGUCAGUCUUUGUCUGCCUAUGCUGCAUAAUGGUUUAGGCUAAAGUGGCCUAAAGUCAGCCAAGCCUACAUGUUUCUUCCAGAUUCUGUAUCUUAAAACUAGGUAAUUUCACAUUGACAUUACUAUGUAUGUCAUGUGUUGUUUUUAUAUAAAAAAAGUGUGGGGAAAUUACCCAUCUUUUUCCUUCUUCUGUCUUCAGUUCCAGCACACGAAGGCAGGACAGAUGGAAGUAUUUCGAAGGAAAAGAAAGAAGAACAUUAAAGCAUACAAACAUAUUAACUUGCAGUUGAUAAUAUACUCUGCAUCUUUCCACUUUGUUAUUUGCCAGGGCAAGUGAUUUCCAUCAUUAAAAUUCCUUUCUUCACAAAA